UACAGAGGGGGCGAGCGUUGUUCGGAAUUACUGGGCGUAAAGGGCGCGUAGGCGGCCUUCUAAGUCGAACGUGAAAUCCCCGGGCUCAACCCGGGAACUGCGUCCGAUACUGGGAGGCUUGAAUCCGGGAGAGGGAUGUGGAAUUCCAGGGUGUAGCGGUGAAAUGCGUAGAUAUCUGGAGGAACACCGGUGGCGAAGGCGCUGCAUCUGGCCCAAUACUGACGCUGAGGCGCGAAAGCUG
rnacentral:rRNA from 1 species